GACGAACGCUGGCGGCGUGCCUAACACAUGCAAGUUGAGCGCUGAAGGUUGGUACUUGUACCAACUGGAUGAGCAGCGAACGGGUGAGUAACGCGUGGGGAAUCUGCCUUUGAGCGGGGGACAACAUUUGGAAACGAAUGCUAAUACCGCAUAAAAACUUUAAACACAAGUUUUAAGUUUGAAAGAUGCAAUUGCAUCACUCAAAGAUGAUCCCGCGUUGUAUUAGCUAGUUGGUGAGGUAAAGGCUCACCAAGGCGAUGAUACAUAGCCGACCUGAGAGGGUGAUCGGCCACAUUGGGACUGAGACACGGCCCAAACCCCUACGGGAGGCAGCAGUGGGGAAUCUUCGGCAAUGGACGAAAGUCUGACCGAGCAACGCCGCGUGAGUGAAGAAGGUUUUCGGAUCGUAAAACUCUGUUGGUAGAGAAGAACGUUGGUGAGAGUGGAAAGCUCAUCAAGUGACGGUAACUACCCAGAAAGGGACGGCUAACUACGUG
rnacentral:rRNA from 1 species